GCUGCAAGCAAAUGUCAGAUUAAAGACAAAUACUCUAGAGCUGUAUGCUUUAGAAGCAUACAUUUUUCUCUUUUUUUUUCUUUUUUUUUCUCGUUGUAUUUAAUUUUUUUCUCCAAAAGAGAAAGCUGCACAGAGGAAGCUUCCACCACAACUCAUUCUUAACAAGAAUGAGAGGCUGGAGCACAUAGUGCAACAAGCAAUAGUGCUCCAAACUAUCCCCUCACAUAUUUCUGCACAUCACUAAGCACAGCCAGAAUUCCCCAACAUAUCCUGGUUGGUGCCAAAGCUACUCCUUCACUGCAAAAGAACUGUGUAUCCAGGAACUGGAGUUAUUGUGUUGCUGUGACAUCUUGGUACAAAAUCCUUACGUGUUAAAAGUGGCAAUUCCUGUCAGUACACCCUAUUUCUAAAACUCCUGAUCUUACACCUUUCCAGUGCUUGCACAACAUCAAAGUGUAGUUACACCUCCUUAUGCUAGAAGCUGCACAACCAAUAUAUUUGAAGAUCAGCCAAAUAAAUUCUGUCUCUCAGAAGCUUUAUUUUUCAAGUUCUGAGCAGCCACCCCUUUAUACACCUCCCAACCAAAUGUGCCUCAUCCUUUUCAAAAGAAAUCCAUCUCAAAUAAGAGCAGCAAUAGACUGAUAGUGUCUUUGCUGUUGUAAAAGCUUUAACGCUGGGUGUAAGAGUACAAUGCAGAGCACUUUGUGAGUGCUUGAAGGAGGCUGCUCCUGAUGCCUCACUCAUGUUAAUGCUUCCUGACUGCAGCUCUUACCUCAGGUGAUGGUGUGGCAUAAGCUGUGUAGGGAGGAGGGGCUGAGGAAAUGGCUGUCUCAUCAUACAUCACAUCAGAUCCCACGUAGCCCUAAACACCAAGGAUAGAGAGCAGUUAUCACCUGUUCCUACAGACAGACAGAACAGUCUAGGGAUUAAAACUUAAUGACCCCAAAGAAAAAGUAACCUUUAGCCACACUGCAUGUUAAGAAAGCAGUGAGUACCUUGUAAAUGCUGCAGAAAGAAAGUACCUGGAGACUAGACCUGGGACAGUACAAAUUCCUGAUCAGCCACAGAAAGGAGGCAUAAAUUUUUUCCCUGUGUGUGUGCCACAGACAGGGAAGUGUGUACAUAUGUGUACAUGCAAGCACCCUGGCUCCUUCCACCAUUCCAGAGCCUCAGAUUUAGAAAUUACCCUCCUGUUCAUUUUCUGUUUUCAGGUAAAGAAAUCUUCACAACUAAGCUGGCUGCUUCCUGGCACCCUAGAAUUAUUGUAUCACCAAGUGGUGACUUGCUAUCACCAAGUUCUGCAGAAGCAGAGAAGGAUGGAACGUGAUUUCAGAACUAAACUGCUGGACCCACAGAACACUGAUGUGCUGCUUCUCUAUCACUAUGAAGUCUAGGUCAAUGAAACAAACAAGGUUAGCAACUAGAGGUACUGCAGGAGCAGAGUUUGAGAGCUGAGAAAGAAUGAGGAGGAGCAAGAGGAGGAAUGGAUGCAGUUUUGGAGGUCCUUGUUGCAAGCACAACAGGUAGGAAAUAUGCAAUCAUGCUUAGGAUGAGGUAAUGGGAAGAGAUGCACCCGAGCAGAACAGCUCAUCUGUGCUGAUUAGAGCAGGGGCCUUGCUGCUGCUGCUGCUGCUGCUCCCAGGAGGCAGAACACCUCACCCAGCUCCUCCCCUGCCACAGGGCUGGGAGCAUGCUCCACA